rnacentral:rRNA from 1 species
AAGGGCACCACAAGAACGCGUGGAGCAUGUGGCUUAAUUUGACUCAACGCGGGAAAUCUUACCAGGUCCGGACACAUCAAGGAUUGACAGGCAACAGAUGUCAUCUUUAUGAUGAUAAUCUCUUAAAUAUGCUAGUCCUUUCAUGAUUAUGUGAUAGGUGGUGCAUGGCCGUUCUUAGUUCGUGGGAUAACUUGUCACCUUAAUUGGUUACUUUAACGUGAAACCUUGGAAUAAGCCAGAGUUUAACUUUUUAAGUGACUUUCGGCCCCUUGGGAUCACUCUUUUAAACGAACGUGACCUCUACUUCUAGUUGUCCAAACAUACAUUUAUUGUAUUAAAAAAGUCAGCUUAGAAGGAUAGCUUACUUAAGUAAGAUGAAAGUAGAGGCAAUAACAGGUCUGUGAUGCCCUUAGAUGUUCUGGGCUGCACACGUGCUACAAUGAUUUAUGCAGUAAGCGUCUUACAAGUCUUUGAUUUUAUUAUCAUUGCAAGCCUACUUCGAAAGUAAGUAGGUAAUCAUUUCUAAGUAUAGAUUCCCUUUUUUUAAGUCAGUGUUUAUUGUCUUUUGAUUUUAAAUACGCUUUUCACUACUUCAUAGUGGGGACAGACCAUUGUUAAUUGUUGGUCUCGUUUCAACUAGGAAUGCCUUGUACGGGUCUUUGGUUCAUCAGACCACCCGGAAUACGUCCCUGCCCUUUGUACACACCGCCCGUCGCUCUUACCGAUGGACUUAUUUGUGAGCUUGAGGGACUUAAGAUUAUUUUAAUCUCGGAAACUUACGCGAACAACUGGGUCUAAAGGAAAGAGAAGUCGAACAAGGCA